GGUUAAUCUGUUUUCUCUAAUCAAACACUUAAUCAUCCAGUCUCCUCUCUGCGUUAUGGAUUCAUGAAUGUGAAGUGAGGAGAGUUGCUCAGUCAAGGUUUUUCACGUACUGCACAUCCAAGCUAGGUAAUGUCUCUGCAACUGCUGCUUCCUGAUGAUUAUAUUCAUCUGAAAUGACUAAGCUUGGUAAAUUAGGCUAAGUCAAGUCUGUGGAGCAGUCAAGAGACGAAUGAAGAAAAGAAUAAUGUAAUGGAGGCUACACCAGAGACAUGGGAAUCUAUCAGCAUGUGGCAAGGAAGGGAGAACAUGGCUCUGUCUUCUAUAUAAAGAGUUGCCUGCAUUCUUCUCAGAAAAAAAAAAAAAGACAAUGGAAAAGCAAUGAGUCAUGAGUCUUGGGUUCUAAGCCUGGUUCUACCAUUUGCUAGCUGUAUGAUAAGAAGCAUGUUUGUUAAACCUCUGAGCCUCAGCUUAUACAUAUACGAAACAGGAAAAAUAGUAACAUAGCCUGCCAUCUUCACAGAUUUGUGAAAAGGUCUUUUAAAUAUCCAAAAAGCUUAGUAUGUAUAAGAAAGAUUAAAUUUAAGCUAUGGGUAUAACACAAAAAUAUACUUGAAAAUUAUUCUUAAAUUUCACCAUAUUUAGGAAGUGGCUAAAUAUAAACAUAAUAUUCCUACUUCUGCAUUUCCUAUUUCUCUCUUUGCAUUGUAAAUUCAGAGGAAGUUAUCUCAUUUAUUAAUUGUAACAUUUAAACAGUAUACAUUUCUGUCAUUUAAAAGUGGUACCAACAAUGUAGUUAAACCUUUAUUAUCUUUUGUUGGUCUAAUAAAUAAAAGUGCGUGACUAAAAA